GAUGAACGCUGGCGGCGUGCCUAAUACAUGCGAGUCGAGCGAACGGACGAGAAGCUUGCUCUUCUGAUGUUAGCGGCGGACGGGUGAGUAACACGUGGAUAACCUACCUAUAAGACUGGGAUAACUUCGGGAAACCGGAGCUAAUACCGGAUAAUAUUUUGAACCGCAUGGUUCAAAAGUGAAAGACGGUCUUGCUGUCACUUAUAGAUGGAUCCGCGCUGCAUUAGCUAGUUGGUAAGGUAACGGCUUACCAAGGCAACGAUGCAUAGCCGACCUGAGAGGGUGAUCGGCCACACUGGAACUGAGACACGGUCCAGACUCCUACGGGAGGCAGCAGUAGGGAAUCUUCCGCAAUGGGCGAAAGCCUGACGGAGCAACGCCGCGUGAGUGAUGAAGGUCUUCGGAUCGUAAAACUCUGUUAUUAGGGAAGAACAAAUGUGUAAGUAACUGUGCACAUCUUGACGGUACCUAAUCAGAAAGCCACGGCUAACUACGUG
rnacentral:rRNA from 1 species